UACUAGAGUAGCACUUGCAUAUCAAUAAGCGGAGGAAAAGAAACUAACAAGGAUUCCCCUAGUAACGGCGAGUGAAGCGGGAAGAGCUCAAAUUUGAAAUCUUAAAGGGUUUCCCUUUACGAAUUGUAGUUUAAAGAAGUGUUUUCUGUUGAGGUUUUGGUAAAAGUUCUUUGGAAUAGGACAUCAUAGAGGGUGAGAAUCCCGUAUUUGACCUUUACUUUCAACUUUGUGAUACACUUUCAAAGAGUCGGAUUGUUUGGGAAUGCAGUCCUAAAAUGGGUGGUAAAUUUCAUCUAAAGCUAAAUAUUGGCGAGAGACCGAUAGCGAACAAGUACCGUGAGGGAAAGAUGAAAAGAACUUUGAAAAGAGAGUUAAACAGUACGUGAAAUUGUCAAAAGGGAAGCGUUUGACACCAGUGUUGUUUUUCGAAAAUCAAUUAAAGAACUGUUUAUGCUAAGUUGUUUAGACUUUAUCAGCUAACUGUUUAGUUUUGAGCUUUUCUUUAAUGCACUUUUCAGUUAACAAGUCAACAUCAAUUUCUUUUGCUGUAAAAAAGCUUGAGGAAGGUGGCUUGAGAUUCGUCUUAAGUGUUUAUAGCCUCUUGCCUAUGCAGUCGGAGAGAUUGAGGUCUGCAGCGUAGAUCCUUCGGGGCUAAAUGCAUUUGUGCUAAGUUAUAGCAUUUUAUAGACAACUUGUUGACUAUGAUUUGUCUUGUAGCUUACUCGCUUAUGUUAUUUUACCUACGCUUAGGAUGUUGAUCUACAGAGCGAGAGU
rnacentral:rRNA from 1 species